UUUGAUCCUGGCUCAGAUUGAACGCUGGCGGCAGGCCUAACACAUGCAAGUCGAGCGGCAGCACGGGAAGCUUGCUUCCUGGUGGCGAGCGGCGGACGGGUGAGUAAUGCAUAGGAAUCUGCCCGGUAGUGGGGGAUAACCUGGGGAAACCCAGGCUAAUACCGCAUACGUCCUACGGGAGAAAGCAGGGGCUCUUCGGACCUUGCGCUAUCGGAUGAGCCUAUGUCGGAUUAGCUGGUUGGUGAGGUAAUGGCUCACCAAGGCGACGAUCCGUAGCUGGUCUGAGAGGAUGAUCAGCCACAUCGGGACUGAGACACGGCCCGAACUCCUACGGGAGGCAGCAGUGGGGAAUAUUGGACAAUGGGCGCAAGCCUGAUCCAGCCAUGCCGCGUGUGUGAAGAAGGCCCUCGGGUUGUAAAGCACUUUCAGUGGGGAAGAACGCCUUCCGGUUAAUACCCGGGAGGAAGGACAUCACCCACAGAAGAAGCACCGGCUAACUCCGUGCCAGCAGCCGCGGUAAUACGGAGGGUGCGAGCGUUAAUCGGAAUUACUGGGCGUAAAGCGCGCGUAGGUGGCUUGAUAAGCCGGUUGUGAAAGCCCCGGGCUCAACCUGGGAACGGCAUCCGGAACUGUCAGGCUAGAGUGCAGGAGAGGAAGGUAGAAUUCCCGGUGUAGCGGUGAAACGCGUAGAGAUCGGGAGGAAUACCAGUGGCGAAGGCGGCCUUCUGGACUGACACUGACACUGAGGUGCGAAAGCGUGGGUAGCAAACAGGAUUAGAUACCCUGGUAGUCCACGCCGUAAACGAUGUCGACUAGCCGUUGGGUCCUUCGCGGACUUUGUGGCGCAGUUAACGCGAUAAGUCGACCGCCUGGGGAGUACG
rnacentral:rRNA from 1 species